rnacentral:rRNA from 1 species
UACAGAGGUCUCAAGCGUUGUUCGGAUUCAUUGGGCGUAAAGGGUGCGUAGGCGGCGCGGUAAGUCGGGUGUGAAAUCUCGGAGCUUAACUCCGAAACUGCAUUCGAUACUGCCGUGCUUGAGGACUGGAGAGGAGACUGGAAUUUACGGUGUAGCGGUGAAAUGCGUAGAUAUCGUAAGGAAGACCAGUGGCGAAGGCGGCCUUCUGGACGGUGACUGACGCUGAGGCGCGAAAGCGUGGGGAGCAAACGGG